rnacentral:rRNA from 1 species
UACGUAGGAGACGAGCGUUGUCCGGAAUUACUGGGCGUAAAGCGCGUGUAGGCGGAUGAGCAAGUCUGCUGUGAAAGCUCCUGGCUUAACCGGGAGUGGUCGGUGGAAACUGCUCGUCUGGAGGACGGUAGAGGUAGGUAGAAUUCCCGGUGUAGUGGUGAAAUGCGUAGAGAUCGGGAGGAAUACCCGUGGCGAAGGCGGCCUACUGGGCCGGACCUGACGCUGAGACGCGAAGGCGUGGGGAGCGAACGGG